UACGGGGGGGGCAAGCGUUGUUCGGAAUUACUGGGCGUAAAGGGUGCGUAGGCGGACAGGUAAGUCAGUGGUGAAAUCUCUGGGCUUAACCCAGAAACUGCCGUUGAUACUAUUUGUCUUGAAUAUCCUGGAGGUAGGCGGAAUAUGUCAUGUAGCGGUGAAAUGCUUAGAUAUGACAUAGAACACCGAUAGCGAAGGCAGCUUACUACAGGAUGAUUGACGCUGAGGCACGAAAGCGUGGGGAGCAAACAGG
rnacentral:rRNA from 1 species